UACAGCCAUAUCAGGCUGAAACAAUUCUUAUAUGAUCACUGAAGUUAAGCAAUAUUGAGCUUGGUCAGUACCUAGAUGGGUGACCACUUAAGAAUAUCAGGUGCUGUAAG